GGCUGAAUGGCACGGGCUGGAGACAUCAGGAGGAUGCUGGAGCCAGUGCUCUGAGCAGACUCCAGCCUUCACCCUUCCAGGCCUCCUGAAAGGGUGUCUAGAUCUCAGAUAGGGAGUGAAGGCGGCCAGGCUGGGCCCUUCCAGGCAACAAGUAGGGUAGGAGGAGAUGAAGACAUGGGGUAUUGGAGGGGUUGACAGAAAGAAUGAGGUGGGUGGCAGGGCUGCAGCCAAGAGCGGCCAGGAAGGGGCAUGGCCAGACUUUAGGUGCUGGGAAAGACCAGUGUCACUGCAGCACAGUGGUCGUGGCUGGGGAGGGAGAACUGUCCCAGAGCACAC
rnacentral:lncRNA from 1 species